rnacentral:rRNA from 1 species
CCUACGGGUGGCAGCAGUGAGGAAUAUUGGUCAAUGGACGAGAGUCUGAACCAGCCAAGUAGCGUGAAGGAUGACUGCCCUACGGGUUGUAAACUUCUUUUAUAUGGGAAUAAAAUGUUCCACGUGUGGGAUUUUGUAUGUACCAUAUGAAUAAGGAUCGGCUAACUCCGUGCCAGCAGCCGCGGUAAUACGGAGGAUCCGAGCGUUAUCCGGAUUUAUUGGGUUUAAAGGGAGCGUAGGUGGUAUGUUAAGUCAGUUGUGAAAGUUUGCGGCUCAACCGUAAAAUUGCAGUUGAAACUGGCAGUCUUGAGUACAGUAGAGGUGGGCGGAAUUCGUGGUGUAGCGGUGAAAUGCUUAGAUAGCACGAAGAACUCCGAUUGCGAAGGCAGUUCACUGGACUGCAACUGACACUGAGGCUCGAAAGUGUGGGUAUCAAACAGGAUUAGAUACCCCUGUAGUC